AGCGAACGCUGGCGGCAGGCUUAACACAUGCAAGUCGAGCGCCGUAGCAAUACGGAGCGGCAGGACGGGUGAGUAACGCGUGGGAACGUGCCUUCUGGGUUCGGAAUAACUCAGGGAAACUUGAGCUAAUACCGAAUAAGCCCGUUCGGGGGAAAGAUUUAUCGCCGGAGGAUCCGGCCCGCGUAAGAUUAGCUUGUUGG
rnacentral:rRNA from 1 species